CCCAGACUCCUACGGGAGGCAGCAGUGGGGGAUAUUGCACAAUGGGGGGAACCCUGAUGCAGCGACGCCGCGUGGGUGAAGGAGCGUUUCGGCGCGUAAAGCCCUAUCGGCAGGGAAGAAGGAGGACGGUACCUGACUAAGAAGCCCCGGCUAACUACGUGCCAGCAGCCGCGGUAAUACGUAGGGGGCAAGCGUUAUCCGGAUUUACUGGGUGUAAAGGGGGCGCAGACGGCAGCGCAAGCCAGGAGUGAAAGCCCGGGGCCCAACCCCGGGACUGCUCUUGGAACUGCGCGGCUGGAGUGCAGGAGGGGCAGGCGGAAUUCCUGGUGUAGCGGUGAAAUGCGUAGAUAUCAGGAGGAACACCGGUGGCGAAGGCGGCCUGCUGGACUGCAACUGACGUUGAGGCCCGAAAGCGUGGGGAGCAAACAGGAUUAGAUACCCUAGUAG
rnacentral:rRNA from 1 species